UGGGGUGUCGCCAAGCGGUAAGGCACUGGAUUUUGAUUCCAGCAUACGCAGGUUCGAAUCCUGCCACCCCAGCCA
rnacentral:tRNA from 1 species